UACCGUCUUUUUAUUUAUAUACAUGAAUGUGCGACGUGUAUAUAAUAAUGGUAAUGCACCCUAAUAGAGCAGUGCGCUAACCACUGCGUCACCGCCCCCCCCCCCCUCCACCGUCUUCCCCACUACAAUCAUCAUCGAAAACCCUUUUUUAUAAAUCCACUGCUGGAUGAAAGCCUCCUACCCACGGCGUGUGGACCGUGUGGAGUUGUUUGACCGACCAUACUUCACCACGCCGGUCACCGCGGGGUUAGAUUGGUGGUGGCGCACCAGGCGCUCUCCCAAGAGGUUCCUGACGUCGCUCUGCGCGUAGUGCGCUAACCACUUGCACCACCGCUCCUACCCAGGUGCGUGACGUCAUUUAUGGACGGCCUCCUAUCACCAUCGUCUCUUGGGCCACGCCGAGCUCUCUCAAGUGACCUCGCUCAGGUGAGCGCACCUGCGGAAAGAGACGCAGAGCCACCGCGACCAUCUCCCUCCUCUUUCUUCAUCCUCCUCUCCGCGUCGCGGAGGUGGGGGAGGCUCGAAAUCGCGUCACGUGACGGGCUAAUUAACAUAACCUAUCUCACCCCCCAAGAAAACACAACCCCCUCCCCCGUUCCA